rnacentral:rRNA from 1 species
UACGUAGGGUGCAAGCGUUAAUCGGAAUUACUGGGCGUAAAGCGUGCGCAGGCGGUUAUGUAAGACAGAUGUGAAAUGCCCGGGCUUAACCUGGGAACUGCAUUUGUGACUGCAUGGCUAGAGUUUGGCAGAGGGGGGUAGAAUUCCACGUGUAGCAGUGAAAUGCGUAGAUAUGUGGAGGAACACCGGUGGCGAAGGCGGCAUCCUGGACCAAUUCUGACGCUGAGGAGCGAAAAGCCAGGGGAGCCAAACGGG